rnacentral:rRNA from 1 species
UACGUAGGGGGCAAGCGUUGUCCGGAUUUAUUGGGCGUAAAGAGCGUGUAGGCGCCAGGGAGGUCCGUUGUGAAAACUCGAGGCUCAACCUCGAGACGCCGAUGGAAACCCUCGUGCUAGAGUCCGGAAGAGGAGAAUGGAAUUCCUGGUGUAGCGGUGAAAUGCGCAGAUAUCAGGAAGAACACCCGUGGCUAAGGCGGUUCUCUAGUACGGUACUGACGCUGAGACGCGAAAGCGUGGGGAGCGAACAGG